UAAAUUUAAAUAAGUUUAAUAUUAUAAUAAAUAUUAGAAUGUAUAUAAUAAAUUUAAAUAAGUUAAAUAUUAUAAAUAAUCAUUCUUACAUCUUUUUCUUCCAUGUGUUCUAUUGCAACACGGUACCCUUGUAAAUGAUGUCGAGGAUUAGUUCGAUAAUUCAUACCUCGUUUGCACCAUCUUGCAUAUUAAAAAAAAAUACAAAAAUACGUUAAAGUGAUGUAUAAAUAAUUUGAAU
rnacentral:lncRNA from 1 species